UUUUAUUUGAGAGUUUGAUCCUGGCUCAGGAUGAACGCUGGCGGCGUGCCUAACACAUGCAAGUUGAGCGAUUUACUUCGGUAAAGAGCGGCGGACGGGUGAGUAACGCGUGGGUAACCUACCCUGUACACACGGAUAACAUACCGAAAGGUAUGCUAAUACGGGAUAAUAUAUUUGAGAGGCAUCUCUUGAAUACCAAAGGUGAGCCAGUACAGGAUGGACCCGCGUCUGAUUAGCUAGUUGGUAAGGUAACGGCUUACCAAGGCGACGAUCAGUAGCCGACCUGAGAGGGUGAUCGGCCACAUUGGAACUGAGACACGGUCCAAACUCCUACGGGAGGCAGCAGUGGGGAAUAUUGCACAAUGGGCGAAAGCCUGAUGCAGCAACGCCGCGUGAGUGAUGAAGGCCUUCGGG
rnacentral:rRNA from 1 species